AAAUUGAAGAGUUUGAUCAUGGCUCAGAUUGAACGCUGGCGGCAGGCCUAACACAUGCAAGUCGAACGGUAACAGGAAGCAGCUUGCUGCUUUGCUGACGAGUGGCGGACGGGUGAGUAAUGUCUGGGAAACUGCCUGAUGGAGGGGGAUAACUACUGGAAACGGUGGCUAAUACCGCAUAACGUCGCAAGACCAAAGAGGGGGACCUUCGGGCCUCUUGCCAUCAGAUGUGCCCAGAUGGGAUUAGCUUGUUGGUGAGGUAACGGCUCACCAAGGCGACGAUCCCUAGCUGGUCUGAGAGGAUGACCAGCCACACUGGAACUGAGACACGGUCCAGACUCCUACGGGAGGCAGCAGUGGGGAAUAUUGCACAAUGGGCGCAAGCCUGAUGCAGCCAUGCCGCGUGUAUGAAGAAGGCCUUAGGGUUGUAAAGUACUUUCAGCGGGGAGGAAGGUGUUGCGGUUAAUAACCGCAGCAAUUGACGUUACCCGCAGAAGAAGCACCGGCUAACUCCGUGCCAGCAGCCGCGGUAAUACGGAGGGUGCAAGCGUUAAUCGGAAUUACUGGGCGUACAGCGCACGCAGGCGGUCUGUCAAGUCGGAUGUGAAAUCCCCGGGCUCAACCUGGGAACUGCAUUCGAAACUGGCAGGCUUGAGUCUUGUAGAGGGGGGUAGAAUUCCAGGUGUAGCGGUGAAAUGCGUAGAGAUCUGGAGGAAUACCGGUGGCGAAGGCGGCCCCCUGGACAAAGACUGACGCUCAGGUGCGAAAGCGUGGGGAGCAAACAGGAUUAGAUACCCUGGUAGUCCACGCCGUAAACGAUGUCUACUUGGAGGUUGUGCCCUUGAGGCGUGGCUUCCGGAGCUAACGCGUUAAGUAGACCGCCUGGGGAGUACGGCCGCAAGGUUAAAACUCAAAUGAAUUGACGGGGGCCCGCACAAGCGGUGGAGCAUGUGGUUUAAUUCGAUGCAACGCGAAGAACCUUACCUGGUCUUGACAUCCACAGAACUUUCCAGAGAUGGAUUGGUGCCUUCGGGAACUGUGAGACAGGUGCUGCAUGGCUGUCGUCAGCUCGUGUUGUGAAAUGUUGGGUUAAGUCCCGCAACGAGCGCAACCCUUAUCCUUUGUUGCCAGCGGUUAGGCCGGGAACUCAAAGGAGACUGCCAGUGAUAAACUGGAGGAAGGUGGGGAUGACGUCAAGUCAUCAUGGCCCUUACGACCAGGGCUACACACGUGCUACAAUGGCGCAUACAAAGAGAAGCGACCUCGCGAGAGCAAGCGGACCUCAUAAAGUGCGUCGUAGUCCGGAUUGGAGUCUGCAACUCGACUCCAUGAAGUCGGAAUCGCUAGUAAUCGUGGAUCAGAAUGCCACGGUGAAUACGUUCCCGGGCCUUGUACACACCGCCCGUCACACCAUGGGAGUGGGUUGCAAAAGAAGUAGGUAGCUUAACCUUCGGGAGGGCGCUUACCACUUUGUGAUUCAUGACUGGGGUGAAGUCGUAACAAGGUAACCGUAGGGGAACCUGCGGUUGGAUCACCUCCUUACCUUAAAGAA
rnacentral:rRNA from 1 species